rnacentral:rRNA from 1 species
UACGUAGGGUGCAAGCGUUACUCGGAAUUACUGGGCGUAAAGCGUGCGCAGGCGGCUUUGCAAGACAGAUGUGAAAUCCCCGGGCUCAACCUGGGAACUGCAUUUGUGACUGCAUGGCUAGAGUGCGGCAGAGGGGGAUGGAAUUCCGCGUGUAGCAGUGAAAUGCGUAGAUAUGCGGAGGAACACCGAUGGCGAAGGCAAUCCCCUGGGCAUGCACUGACGCUCAUGCACGAAAGCGUGGGGAGCAAACAGG